AUUGAACGCUGGCGGCAGGCCUGACACAUGCAAGUCGAGCGGAUGAAGGGAGCUUGCUCCUGGAUUCAGCGGCGGACGGGUGAGUAAUGCCUAGGAAUCUGCCUGGUCGUGGGGGAUAACGUCCGGAAACGGGCGCUAAUACCGCAUACGUCCUGUGGGAGAAAGUGGGGGAUCUUCGGACCUCACGCUAUCAGAUGAGCCUAGGUCGGAUUAGCUAGUUGGUGGGGUAAAGGCCUACCAAGGCGACGAUCCGUAACUGGUCUGAGAGGAUGAUCAGUCAGACUGGAAGUGAGACACGGUCCAGACUCCUACGGGAGGCAGCAGUGGGGAAUAUUGGACGAUGGGCGAAAGCCUGAUCCAGCCAUGCCGCGUGUGUGAAGAAGGUCUUCGGAUUGUAAAGCACUUUAAGUUGGGAGGAAGGGAAGUAAGUUAAUACCUUGCUGUUUUGACGUUACCAGCAGAAUAAGCACCGGCUAACUUCGUG
rnacentral:rRNA from 1 species